CAGCCGCCGCGGGAAUACGAAGGGUGCAAGCGUUACUCGGAAUUACUGGGCGUAAAGCGUGCGUAGGUGGUGGUUUAAGUCCGUUGUGAAAGCCCUGGGCUCAACCUGGGAAUUGCAGUGGAUACUGGAUCACUAGAGUGUGGUAGAGGAUAGUGGGAUUUCCGGUGUAGCAGUGAAAUGCGUAGAGAUCGGAAGGAACAUCUGUGGCGAAGGCGACUAUCUGGGCCAACACUGACACUGAGGCACGAAAGCGUGGGGAGCAAACAGGAUUAGAUACCCGAGUAGUCCCUGUCUCUUAUAC
rnacentral:rRNA from 1 species